rnacentral:rRNA from 1 species
CAGCACCUCAAGUGGUCAGGAUGAUUAUUGGGCCUAAAGCAUCCGUAGCCGGCGCGGUAAGUUUUCGGUUAAAUCUGUACGCUCAACGUACAGGCUGCCGGGAAUACUGCAGCGCUAGGGAGUGGGAGAGGUAGACGGUACUCGGUAGGAAGGGGUAAAAUCCUUUGAUCUAUUGAUGACCACCUGUGGCGAAGGCGGUCUACCAGAACACGUCCGACGGUGAGGGAUGAAAGCCAGGGGAGCGAUCCGGAUUAGAUACCCGAGUAGUCC